CUUUACUCUUCCCUUAUUUGAGCUGACAGCGCAGUCAGUCUCCUAUGCGCUCUUAAAAUAUGAAUGAACAGAAGUCAAAGCGCACCUGUCUUAUAAAGGGAAUGGUAGGUGACACACUGAUUGGUUUAUUUCACGUUACACCCAAAACACACCUAUGAAAAUUAAGAGAAUUAAAACACGCCGUUGGAGCUGCGUAAGGCGUAAUUUUUGUGCCCUUUAGGACACAGGACACGCCCCUAAAUCCAGCUGCGCAAAGUGCUAUUAACUAGUGCGCUAUAGAUCACUAAAAUAGGGCCCUUGGUGUAUAAUGUCUUGGUGUCAAAAGUGUUGUAAGAAGGAAUGGCAAUGUUACAAAGUGUGAUGCAAUGUGUUGCAGGCCUAAAGUGCAGGAGUGGACGUAUAUAAACAAAUUACAAAUGUGACAGAUAAAACAUACUGUCUGCAGUGAUAGUUUACCAUUAUUCUUUAAACAUCAUUGUUUCUUGAAAAACCGUCAACACAAAACUACAUGCAUCUCUCACUUUUAGAAGUGUUUUCCUGAUUGUUUUCAUUGUCAUUCUUUGAUCUUUUUUUACUCAGAUCGUGGAUGCCUUGUUCCAUCUGUUCAGCAUGAAGCGACCAGGUAUACUAGCAAUCAAUGCUCAUACUCUGUCUCAUAUUCUUGAUGGGGGAGCAAGGGCAAGGAGCCAUUAUUUUAUCAAGAGGAACAUCUUUAAAAACACAAGGGAGGUUGUUGGUCCUUACUUGGAACACGGGAAUGACUGGACUUUUUUUCACUGCAGUUUUGUAGAUCGUACUAUAACAUAUCUCAAUUCGCUUGGGGAACAGGAUCAGCAAUAUGAUCAAAUUAAAAACAACUGGAGCACAUUUGCUGCAGCAAA
rnacentral:lncRNA from 1 species